GAUGAUGUGCUCAUGUUCAGGUUGAAGUCAAAAGUGAUCAAUUGAGACAUUCAUUGAGAGCAACCAACAUUCUACCACAUGGGGGAUA